rnacentral:rRNA from 1 species
UCAAGUUAUUAAGGGUGCAGGGCGGAUGCCUUGGCACUAGGAGCCGAUGAAGGACGUGAUAAGCUGCGAUAAGCUUCGGGGAGUUGCACGUAAACUUUGAUCCGAAGAUUUCCGAAUGAGGAAACUCACUUAGAGUAAUGUCUAAGUAUCGUUAAGUGAAUACAUAGCUUAGCGAGGGGAACCCGGGGAACUGAAACAUCUAAGUACCCGGAGGAAGAGAAAGAAAUUCCAUUCCGUAAGUAGCGGCGAGCGAACGCGGAACAGGCCAAACCAAUGAAGUUUACUUCGUUGGGGUUGCGGACAUACAACAUGGAUGCAAUAUCGUAAAUGAAGAGAGUUGGAAAGCUCCGCCAUAGAAGGUAAUAGCCCUGUAGUUGAAACGAGAAAGCUACUAGUAUGAUCCAGAGUACCACGGGACACGUGAAACCCUGUGGGAAGCAGGAGGGACCAUCCUCCAAGCCUAAAUACUACCUAGUGACCGAUAGCGCAUAGUACCGUGAGGGAAAGGUGAAAAGAACCCCGGGAGGGGAGUGAAAUAGAACCUGAAACCCUGCACUUACAAGCUGUGGGAGCACAUUACUUGUGUGACCGCGUACUUUUUGUAGAACGGGCCAACGAGUUACGUUAAGUAGCAAGGUUAAGCACUUAAGGUGUGGAGCCGUAGCGAAAGCGAGUCUUAAAUGGGCGAUUAAGUUACUUGGCGUAGACCCGAAACCGGGCGACCUAUCCAUGAGCAGGUUGAAGCGAAAGUAAAAUUUCGUGGAGGACCGAACCCACGAGCGUUGAAAAGCUCGGGGAUGACUUGUGGAUAGCGGUGAAAUUCCAAUCGAGCCCGGAGAUAGCUGGUUCUCCCCGAAAUAGCUUUAGGGCUAGCCUCAAGCGUAGAGAAACGGAGGUAGAGCACUGAAUGUCCUAGGGGGUAUUGCACUUACCGAAGACUAUCAAACUCCGAAUGCCGUUUUCUUUUACUUGGGAGUCAGACUGUGGGUGAUAAGAUUCAUAGUCAAAAGGGCAACAGCCCAGAUCGUCAGCUAAGGUCCCUAAAUGUACGUUAAGUGGUAAAGGAUGUGGGAUUGCACAGACAACCAGGAUGUUGGCUUAGAAGCAGCCACUCAUUUAAAGAGUGCGUAAUAGCUCACUGGUCGAGUGAUCCUGCGCCGAAAAUUUCCGGGGCUAAAACGUACUACCGAAGCUACGGCAUCAUUUAUGAUGGGUAGGGGAGCUUCGUAUGCAGGCUGAAGCAUGACCGUAAGGACAUGUGGACAGUAUACGAGUGAGAAUGUUGGCAUGAGUAGCGAGACGUGGGUGAGAAUCCCACGGGCCGUAAACCCAAGGUUUCCAGGGGAAGGUUCGUCCGCCCUGGGUUAGUCGGGACCUAAGCCGAGGCCGAAAGGCGUAGGUGAUGGACAACAGGUUGAUAUUCCUGUACCGCCAAUAAGCGUUUGAGAGAUGGAGUGACACAGUAGGAUAAGCUAACCGUACUGUUGGUUAUGUACGGCUAAGCAUUGAGGCAGUCUAAAUAGGCAAAUCCGUUUAGACAAUGCUAGGAUGUGAUGGGGAAGCCCUUCGGGGCGAAGUAGCUGAUUUCACACUGUCAAGAAAAGCUUCUAUCGAGUUUAAAGGCGCCCGUACCGUAAACCGACACAGGUGGGUGAGGAGAGUAUCCUAAGGCCAGCGAGAGAACUAUUGUUAAGGAACUCGGCAAAAUGACCCCGUAACUUAGGGAGAAGGGGUGCCUGUCUAUGACAGGCCGCAGAGAAUAGGCCCAAGCGACUGUUUACCAAAAACACAGGUUUCUGCUAAGUCGCAAGACGAUGUAUAGGAGCUGACGCCUGCCCGGUGCUGGAAGGUUAAGGGGAUCUGUUAGAGCAAUCGAAGCAGUGAACUUAAGCCCCAGUAAACGGCGGCCGUAACUAUAACGGUCCUAAGGUAGCGAAAUUCCUUGUCGGGUAAGUUCC